GAGUUUGAUCCUGGCUCAGAUUGAACGCUAGCGGGAUGCCUUACACAUGCAAGUCGAACGGCAGCACGGACUUCGGUCUGGUGGCGAGUGGCGAACGGGUGAGUAAUGUAUCGGAACGUGCCCAGUAGCGGGAGAUAACUACGCGAAAGCGUAGCUAAUACCGCAUACGCCCUACGGGGGAAAGCAGGGGAUCGUAAGACCUUGCACUAUUGGAGCGGCCGAUAUCGGAUUAGCUAGUUGGUGGGGUAACGGCUCACCAAGGCGACGAUCCGUAGCUGGUUUGAGAGGACGACCAGCCACACUGGGACUGAGACACGGCCCAGACUCCUACGGGAGGCAGCAGUGGGGAAUUUUGGACAAUGGGGGAAACCCUGGUCCAGCCAUCCCGCGUGUGCGAUGAAGGCCUUCGGGUUGUAAAGCACUUUUGGCAGGAAAGAAACGUCAUGGGUUAAUACCCCGUGAAACUGACGGUACCUGCAGAAUAAGCACCGGCUAACUACGUGCCAGCAGCCGCGGUAAUACGUAGGGUGCAAGCGUUAAUCGGAAUUACUGGGCGUAAAGCGUGCGCAGGCGGUUCGGAAAGAAAGAUGUGAAAUCCCAGAGCUUAACUUUGGAACUGCAUUUUUAACUACCGGGCUAGAGUGUGUCAGAG
rnacentral:rRNA from 1 species